UACUGUGUAUAUGAAGGUUACUGUGUAUAAGAUGUCGGUAAUUAGAAGAAAACCCUAAUUACUGUUGUAUGUCGAUAAUUAGGACAAACCCUAAUUAUUACAACCCUAAUCGGUUGAAGUUAGAAAUCGUAAUGACUGUGUUAGAACAUACACAGAUAAUUAGAGAACCCUAAUGGUCAAUUAGAAACCCUAAUUGAUGGCGUUAAGAAACCCUAAUUAGAAAACCCUAAUUUUCUAUAGAAAACCCUAAUUUAAAAUUAUCGGGUUUAAUUACGAUGUUAUUGUAUAAAUGUUUUAAUUUACCAAAGGAUAGAAAUUAAUUGGUAAAUGAUAAGAAUUACCAUCUAGUGAUGAAAUACUACAUUUAAUUGCUAUGUACAAAAAUGCCCAUGAAAUUAUAUGCAAAAUUACCAAAUUACCC
rnacentral:lncRNA from 1 species